rnacentral:rRNA from 1 species
UGGGGGAACCCUGAUGGAGCAACGCCGCGUGAAGGAUGAAGGCCCUCGGGUCGUAAACUUCUUUUAUGAGUGAAGAAUAUGACGGUAACUCAUGAAUAAGCACCGGCUAACUACGUGCCAGCAGCCGCGGUCAUACGUAGGGUGCAAGCAUUAUCCGGAGUGACUGGGCGUAAAGAGUUGCGUAGGCGGUUAGUAAAGUGAAUAGUGAAACCUGGUGGCUCAACCAUACAGACUAUUAUUCAAACUCACUAACUCGAGAAUGGUAGAGGUAACUGGAAUUUCUUGUGUAGGAGUGAAAUCCGUAGAUAUAAGAAGGAACACCAAUGGCGUAGGCAGGUUACUGGACCAUUUCUGACGCUAAGGCACGAAAGCGUGGGGAGCGAACAGGAUUAGAUACCCUGGUAGUCCAA